rnacentral:rRNA from 1 species
GUCUAUGGCCAUGCCACCCUGGACACGCUCGACCUUGACUGAUCUCAGAAGCUAAGCAAGGUCGGGCCUGGUUAGUACUCGCAUGGGAGACCACCUAGGAAGACCAGGUGCUGUAGGUG